AUAAAGGUUAUAUGCGCAUUGUUGAUUAGUCGCCAGUAAUCAUUAGAUUCAAGGAAAUAUAUGAACACGUAUACGGUUGAUCGCGGUGUUUAGCGGUUCGUCGGUGGUCACGAAUAAAAUAAUUUAUAUCGAAUCAAAUGCACGUGUUUGCACAUAAGCAAUUUUUUUGGAGACCAGGCACUAGCGAAUAUAACCUUCAAAGUGUCCGAAGCUUCGAAACAAUUUUAACUAGGGAAUAUAAUUCUGAACAAAUUUUUUUUUCUUUAUUUCAAAAUUCUAAAAUAUUCUCCUUAGAUUGUUCUCACGGCAGAUUAAGAUUGAAGAAUCAUAAUAACAAUGAGGGAGAGGGAGAGAUAAUACAUAUUAUCAAUUUCUUACAAGUGGGGGUGUAACUCAGUGGUAGAGUGUCUGCUUCGCAUGCUGAAAGUCCUGGGUUCAAAUCCCAGCUCCUCCAAUCGGAUUUUUUUUUCUUUUCCUGUAUUAACUUUAUGUUCCUUAGGAAAUUAGUGUAUACAAGUGUUUUAUAUGCAAAACAGAUCUUUUUCUUGUGUGUAACUAUAUUUCAGUCUCGUUAUUAAAAAAAGAAAAAGAAGAGAAAAAGAAAUAUGAAGAAUGAUUGACCGAUUUAAUCAUUUUUCUUUUACUUAAUUAUUUACUUAUCUAUUUUUAACAUUUAUUCAUUUAUCUUAUUGGUAAUACAAUGACAUUAAACUAUAACAGAAUUAUGUGUAGUUUAAAGUACACUGAAGAAUAAUGUCGUUGCUCGUCGCUCCGGAAUGUCACAAAAGAAAGUAGAUGUGCGUCCCGACCCAUUGAUAAGCACUUGAGCAGCAGGAGAUAUGGUAAUUUCUAACCCAGUCUAAUCACUCCUGCGGCACUAGUACUUAGGAACAGGACAGGAUGUAUUAUUCAUCGGCUGCUUAUUAUUUUUCAAUAAUUAUCAUCUUUCAACGAUCACACUGUAGAUAAUUCUGGAACAAUCCUAAAAAAAAAAAAGAACGAAAAAUAAAUAA